CGAAGGCCGCUGGCGGCCACGGGGCCGCGAAGGCCCUGAGGAAGCUCCACCCUCCCCGCGGCACCGGAGUCCCGCGAGGGACCGGGUUGAGAGCCCGGGCUCCGGCACAGAAACGAGACCCCCGGGCCAGAGAGAGGAUGGAGAACUCCUUCCCGGCGACGGGAAGGAUAUCCGGAUCCAUGAAGGCCUAGCGGGGCUGAAACGGCCGUCCUCCGGGGAGCAAGGGGGUCCCCCGAUGCCUCGCCGCGGAAGGGGGACCCGGGGACCGCUUAGCCAAAUGCCGCCGAAGUACAGAAGGUGGGCUAUAGCGGCCUUCG
rnacentral:RNase_P_RNA from 2 species